UAAAACUUACUCAUCUUAAUAAAACUCGUCAUUUUUAUUCAUUAAUACUCAAUUGAAAACAGUCUAUGAAAGACAGCAUAAAACUUAAUUAAUAUCAUUAAUCAAGUUAUACAUCAUAUGAAACCAUUCUAUUAAGACUCAAAGUAUGACAUAACAUACUAUAACAUCAACAACAUCUUGCAGCGGAAAGUAGCUAGACAUAUGUAUGAAGACAUAUUCUAGACAUGGUAACUAUUUAUUAACAACCCUGGAGACUCCGCUCAUUGCAGCACCAUCACCACAUUAGCUCAACCUGCACAUUUAGAAAACAUAUGCAGGGCUGAGUACAAAAGUACUCAGUGGGCACGUAUGCCUAAGUAUAAAAAUACAUGCUUCAAAACUGUAAAUUGUCAUGCCAUCAUAAACAGUACAGCAAGGGAGUUUUUCGCUAAAAAGGCCCAAGCUUACUAAAUUCAUUUGUGAUUCUUAAAGUUCGUCUGAUCAGACUAAGUUCUUUUGUAAUCUAUCAUAUC
rnacentral:lncRNA from 1 species